GACGAACGCUGGCGGCGUGCCUAAUACAUGCAAGUAGAACGCUGAGGUUUGGUGUUUACACUAGACUGAUGAGUUGCGAACGGGUGAGUAACGCGUAGGUAACCUGCCUCAUAGCGGGGGAUAACUAUUGGAAACGAUAGCUAAUACCGCAUAAGAGUAAUUAACACAUGUUGGUUAUUUAAAAGGAGCAAUUGCUUCACUGUGAGAUGGACCUGCGUUGUAUUAGCUAGUUGGUGAGGUAAAGGCUCACCAAGGCGACGAUACAUAGCCGACCUGAGAGGGUGAUCGGCCACACUGGGACUGAGACACGGCCCAGACUCCUACGGGAGGCAGCAGUAGGGAAUCUUCGGCAAUGGACGGAAGUCUAACCGAGCAACGCCGCGUGAGUGAAGAAGGUUUUCGGAUCGUAAAGCUCUGUUGUUAGAGAAGAACGUUGGUAGGAGUGGAAAAUCUACCAAGUGACGGUAACUAACCAGAAAGGGACGGCUAACUACGUGCCAGCAGCCGCGGUAAUACGUAGGUCCCGAGCGUUGUCCGGAUUUAUUGGGCGUAAAGCGAGCGCAGGCGGUUCUUUAAGUCUGAAGUUAAAGGCAGUGGCUUAACCAUUGUACGCUUUGGAAACUGGAGGACUUGAGUGCAGAAGGGGAGAGUGGAAUUCCAUGUGUAGCGGUGAAAUGCGUAGAUAUAUGGAGGAACACCGGUGGCGAAAGCGGCUCUCUGGUCUGUAACUGACGCUGAGGCUCGAAAGCGUGGGGAGCAAACAGG
rnacentral:rRNA from 1 species